UGGGCGCAAGCCUGAUCCAGCAAUGCCGCGUGCAGGAUGAAGGCCUUCGGGUUGUAAACUGCUUUUGUACGGAACGAAAAGCUUUGGGUUAAUACCCUGGAGUCAUGACGGUACCGUAAGAAUAAGCACCGGCUAACUACGUGCCAGCAGCCGCGGUAAUACGUAGGGUGCAAGCGUUAAUCGGAAUUACUGGGCGUAAAGCGUGCGCAGGCGGUUUUGUAAGACAGAGGUGAAAUCCCCGGGCUCAACCUGGGAACUGCCUUUGUGACUGCAAGGCUAGAGUACGGCAGAGGGGGAUGGAAUUCCGCGUGUAGCAGUGAAAUGCGUAGAUAUGCGGAGGAACACCGAUGGCGAAGGCAAUCCCCUGGGCCUGUACUGACGCUCAUGCACGAAAGCGUGGGGAGCAAACAGGAUUAGAUACCCUGGUAGUCCACGCCCUAAACGAUGUCAACUGGUUGUUGGGUCUUAACUGACUCAGUAACGAAGCUAACGCGUGAAGUUGACCGCCUG
rnacentral:rRNA from 1 species